rnacentral:tRNA from 2 species
GCGGAUGUGGCGUAAUUGGUAGCCGCGCUAGACUUAGGAUCUAGUGUCGUGAGACGUGAAGGUUCGAGUCCUUUCAUCCGCACCA